ACGAUAUAACAUUACAUUUAGUGCCCGCCGGCUUAUGGGCCAGUUGAUUAGAUUCACGUGAAACAUUGCACGAAUGGCUGAUCGAGGGUCCAAAGAGCCAAAGAGCCUACACAUGUGACAGCGGUGUUAUUGACAAUGGGGCAGU
ensembl:ncRNA C10E2.7 ncRNA